GAAAUAAUAUAUUUAAGCUUCUAACUUAAUAAAAAGCGAAAUUCGUUUAUAUUUCU
rnacentral:tRNA from 1 species